rnacentral:lncRNA from 1 species
CUAUAAACUUUUCCUAAUAACAAUAAUACUGAUGAUAAAUAAAGUUUAUCUUUCUUAACCGAAACUUCAUAUUACUCCUUCAAGAACAAAUCCUCUAAAGGUAAACAUCAAAAACCUCUGAGUUUGUGUCAUACUGCAAGUUUUCAGGAGGUUCAAUAUUUCAACUCCAUUCAACUUGAAUGGGACCAACAUAAAGAAAGUCAAAGUUUCGUGGCAUCUGGGUGGCUCAGUCAAGUAUCUGCCUUCAGCUCAGGUCAUGAUCUCAGGGUUCUGGGAUCUGGUUCUGGGAUCCAGCCCUGGGUUGGCCUCCCUGCUCAGCAAGGAGCCUGCUCCUCCCUCACCCUCUGCCCCACCCCCUCCCCACUGGUUUUUCUCUCUCUUUCUCUCUCUCUCUCAAAUUUAAAAAAAAAAAUCAUAAAAAAAUAGUCAAAGUUUACUUUCAAUCCAUGGAUUUUGGAUAGCUUUCACUUCUUUGUUCAUAUAUUUAUCCCUCCAACCUCUUUCUUUAAAAAUCUGAAACAGGAUGCUGUAAACCACACAUCUGGGAAGGAACUCUUACUUUCCCAAAGUAUUAGCAUCUGUUUGUCAUGAAAGGAUACAACCCUUAGAAAGCUGGACUGCAUCUUAAGAUUAGGAGCAAAGACAGCCAACUCAGAGGCAAAGGAAACCUCUACAAACCUGCCUGUUCUAGGUUAGAGCUAAAUCCACCAUAAACAUUCAGAUUGAUACUCUUCUCUUAAUUACCAAAAGGGCUGUGACUCCUGGACUAGCUUACAUCUGUUGCCUACCUCUUGACCUAAAUCUUCCCCCUGACUAUGCUUAUUAAAUAUUAAUGUCUGUUACACAUUUGGGUCCACCUCACAGUCUUUGUGUUCAUGUGUUUAUUGUUUACAUGUGAAGUAGCUGCAUCCAUAAAAAAAGAAGCCUUAAACUGGAAGUCAUUGGAAAUUUAAGUUGUUAAAGAGAACCAGCCUUACCUUUUACCUGGUAAAUUACAUUAAUAGAUAAUAUCUACACCAUAGCUCAUCUUCAACUGUAUGAAAAUAUUCAGCCCCUAAACUAGUACUAAAUGAGAAUAUUCAAAAAGAGAGGGUUGAAAUCUGAGGUGUUACCAGCAUAUGGCAGCCAGUAUCAUGAAAUAAAACCUUCUAACAUCCUAUAUAACA